AGGACGAACGCUGGCGGCGUGCUUAACACAUGCAAGUGGAGCGACGAACCGGGGCUUGCCCCGGGGCAGAGCCGCGAACGGGUGAGUAACACGUGGGUUACCUGCCUUGAUGACCGGGACAACCCGAGGAAACUCGGGCUAAUACCGGAUGUGCCCGCAAGGGGAAAGGAAGCUUCGGCCUCCGCAUCAAGAUGGGCCCGCGGCCCAUUAGCUUGUUGGUGAGGUAACGGCUCACCAAGGCUUCGAUGGGUAGCUGGUCUGAGAGGACGAUCAGCCACACUGGGACUGAGACACGGCCCAGACUCCUACGGGAGGCAGCAGUGGGGAAUCUUGCGCAAUGCGCGAAAGCGUGACGCAGCAACGCCGCGUGGGGGAAGAAGGCUUUCGGGUUGUAAACCCCUUUCAGUUGGGACGAAGCUUCUCCGGUGAAUAGCCGGACGGAGUGACGGUACCUUCACAAGAAGCACCGGCUAACUACGUGCCAGCAGCCGC
rnacentral:rRNA from 1 species